CUUCCAAACCAGACUCGCACGAUUCGAAAACAAACGUAAGUUUUUCAAAGUUUAGUUUUGUUUUUUGUGAUAUGUGUGCCUUACUUUUUCUUUUAAAUUCUAAUUGAGAAAAAAAACUCCAAGUGGUGAAUCAACGAGUUCUUUUGAGAAACAUCCGACAAUGAAGUGCUGCGGAAUCUUCAACAAGAGAAAAUGAAGGCCAAAUUGAACUAGUGAAAAAAUUCUUGAUGGGAGAAAACAAUCGCAAUUCUUCAAAAUGUAUAAGGACCAAAAAUUUAAGAACGCAUUAUUUUCGGUUGCUCUUAGCGGAAACACAAAUUCACGAAGAGAUUGAUGAUUUAAGUGCUUCCGGUAGCAAGAAACUACCUUCGGUGCCAACUAGUGACGACCUUACUCUAGGUUCUGGGGGAGCCUCUCUGUUUCUACUGUGUCAGCUUUUUGUCCAAGUUGCUGUAUGUGUCGUUGCGGUUGAUGUGAGAGUUGCUUUCAUCGAGAAGGAAAAUAAGAAGAGUCGGAAUCGUUG